rnacentral:rRNA from 1 species
GAUGAACGCUGGCGGCGUGCCUAAUACAUGCAAGUCGAGCGAACAGACGAGGAGCUUGCUCCUCUGACGUUAGCGGCGGACGGGUGAGUAACACGUGGAUAACCUACCUAUAAGACUGGGAUAACUUCGGGAAACCGGGGCUAAUACCGGAUAAUAUAUUGAACCGCAUGGUUCAAUAGUGAAAGACGGUUUUGCUGUCACUUAUAGAUGGAUCCGCGCCGCAUUAGCUAGUUGGUAAGGUAACGGCUUACCAAGGCGACGAUGCGUAGCCGACCUGAGAGGGUGAUCGGCCACACUGGAACUGAGACACGGUCCAGACUCCUACGGGAGGCAGCAGUAGGUAAUCUGCCGCAAUGGGCGAAAGCCUGACGGAGCAACGCCGCGUGAGUGAUGAAGGUCUUCGGAUCGUAAAACUCUGUUAUUAGGGAAGAACAAAUGUGUAAGUAACGAUGCACGUCUUGACGGUACCUAAUCAGAAAGCCACGGCUAACUACGU